UACGAGAGGCCCAAACGUUAUUCGGAAUUACUGGGCUUAAAGAGUUCGUAGGCGGCAUUGCAAGUAGGGUGUGAAAGCCCUCGGCUCAACCGAGGAAUUGCGCUCUAAACUGCAGUGCUCGAGGAAGCUAGAGGUGAGCAGAACAGAUGGUGGAGCGGUGAAAUGCGUUGAUAUCAUCUGGAAUACCGGAGGCGAAGGCGGCUCACUGGGGCUUUUCUGACGCUGAGGAACGAAAGCCAGGGUAGCGAACGGG
rnacentral:rRNA from 3 species